UACGGGGGGGGCAAGCGUUGUUCGGAAUUACUGGGCGUAAAGGGCGUGUAGGCGGCCAACUAAGUCCGACGUGAAAUCCCCAGGCUCAACCUGGGAACUGCAUCCGAUACUGGAUGGCUUGAAUUCGGGAGAGGGAUGCAGAAUUCCAGGUGUAGCGGUGAAAUGCGUAGAUAUCUGGAGGAAUACCGGUGGCGAAGGCGGCAUCCUGGACCGACAUUGACGCUGAGGAGCGAAAGCCAGGGGAGCAAACGGG
rnacentral:rRNA from 1 species